GCUGGGCAUGGUGGCGGGUGCCUGUAGUCCCAGCUACUCGGGAGGCUGAGGCAGGAGAAUGGUGUGAACCCGGGAGGCGGAGAUUGCCGUGAGCCAAGAUCGCGCCACUGCACUCCAUCCAGCCUGGGUGACAGAGCAAGACUCUGUCUCCAAAAAAAAAA
rnacentral:sRNA from 1 species